GCGCAGGCGGCGGCGCAGGCGAGGAGGAGGAGGCCGGCGCCUCUGGGUGGGAGCGCCGGAAGCCAGAGUUGGGCUCCCCGGCCGGGGUUCGGGUUGCGAGCGCUGCCGCGGCCGGGCCGGGCAUGGUGGGGGAGAGGGGACGCCCGAGGGGCCCCCUCUGGGAACGGCGGGGGACCUGAGGCAGGGCCAGCCGGGACAGGGGCGCAGGGCCACUCCACAGGCCCCGCGGGCCGUGCUCCGGAGGCUCCAGCUGGCCGGGGCAAGGGGGCCUUUGUGAGCGCCCCAAGAGUGCGCAGCCGGGCGUGCGGCCGCGGGGAUGUGUGCGCGCCCGGGGGGUGCGCGGGUGUGCGCGAGUGUGAGCGCCCCGGCGGGUGGGAGCGCGCGUUAGGGAUUCUGCUGGCAUCGCAGCGUGGAGAACAGGAGGCAGGAGUGGGGCGCGCAGGGGAGCGCGGGGCCCUCCCGCGCACACGCACACGCACACGCCGCGCGCGCGCGCGCACACACACACAUACACACACGCACACGCCCUCUCUGCCUCGCUCGCUGCCGCUGCCACCAUCUCGGAGCCGAGCCUUGCGGAGCGGGAACCCGAGCCGGAGCGGGAACCGGAGCCGAGCGGAGCCGAAUCGGGGAAUGCGGUCCCGGAACGGAGCGGCGCGCGAAGUGCGCGCCCGGGACGGGAUCCCAUGGCCAUGUCCUGGCUGCCUUGAGUCUGUGAGGCCACACAGCCUCCCACCUGCAUCUCCAGGGCUCUGUCCCUGUCCAGCCCCUGGACCAGCUUCCGAGUCUACUCCUCACCCCAGCCCGGGGACGCCUCAAGCUUCAGGACUCAGUGGGGCACAGUAGCAGUCACGUGCAUGCUGGGACCGCGACCAAUAGGCUGCUGCUCCCCGGGCCCCCAGAGGCUGAUCUGUUUGCCUCCCGGCGCCGUCUGACCCAGGUAAGGGGAAAGCAAGGGGACUCACGUCGCCUCACGCCUCUGCUUUGGGUGGGAGGGCUCUGGGAGUGAGGAGCAGGAAGGCCCUCUGUGGAUAAGCCCCUCCCAGGGGCAGUGGUGUGGGGCACAGGUGUGGCUUGAAGGCCCUGACAGUAGCAGGGCCUCCUGGGGGACUUGGGGACACUGAGAGGCCCCAGGACAUCUAAUUCUGCCAGCCUCGGUUUUUCUGACAUGGUUGCUGUCUGCGGUUUGUUCAGUGUCGUUUCACUGCACACACUUGCUAAGUACUUUGGCUGUGGUACUUCUGUCUCUGUGGGGCUCCCUUUGCUGUCACUCUGGCGUUUCUCUGCCAGAGUCGCCAUGCUAGCCCUGUGUGUGUGCUUCCAUGAGUGACAGCUCUUACUCCAUGCAGGACCCCUCCAGGGCAGAGGUGUUCCUCCUGGGCACCAGGAACAGCCCAGCUGACUUUUAAGCCACUUGGCAUUUCUCUGCUGCUCCUGGGCACCCCAGAUGAAGGCUUUCUGCUCAGGGCCAAGUGCCCCAAAGGUGGGAUUGGUUUGGGGCUGGGCUUGCCAGAAAACUUUACAGGGUAUCCAAUUAAUUUUGAGCUUGAGACAAACAACAAAUCAUUUUUUAGCAUAAGUAUAUCCCCAGAUUUUUGCUAAAUCUGGCAACCUGAGUGGGCCUGAGGGGGCCCCAGUGCCCCUCUUCUCCUGCGGAGUCCUCCCUGCUGGGUCCACCUUGGCCCCUUCGGAUCAGCUGUCUCCAGUGCCUGUGGUGGAUGUGUUGGACCCAGGGGUGGCCAAGCCUGAAUAGGUCACAAUCAGUGGGCAUCUCCUGAUCCCCCAGGUUCCCAUAGGCCAAUCUGGGGCAGAGCCCUGGGGGUUCCCGCUGGAGGCUGUUGACUGUGCUCUCAGGGUGCCUGUCUUCUCCUCUCUGGCUCUCUGACAGCAGAGUCCAGGCCAAGGAGGCCAUGAGGUAGGGCUGGCUGGGCCUCUGUACCCGUGAACAGAGCUGUGAGACGGGCCUGGAGCUGCAAAAAGAACCAAGAAUAGAAAAUUGUCUCAUGUGCUUGGAACCCAGAGUGCAUGGGGUGUGGGGCUGGAGGUGGGGGGCAACAGGGAAGAGGCAGGGCCAGAUAAUGGAGGGCUUGGAAUGUCCUAUUUCUGUAUCUUUCAACACUGGGGUGACAGAAGUGUCUUCUUGGCAGUUGGAGUCAUUUUUCUGACUAGUAAUGUAAUAUAUGUUCUCUAUAUGUUAUCUAUCUAUCUAUCUAUCUAUCUAUCUAUCUAUGUAUCCAUCUAUCCAUCCAUGUACCCACCUAUCCAUCCAUCCAUCCAUCCAUCCAUCCAUCUAUCCAUCUAUCCAUCCAUUCACCCAUCCAUCCACCCACUCACCAUCUAUGCAUGCAUGUAUCUAUCCAUCCACCCAUCUAUUCAUCCAUGCAUCCAUGCAUCCAUCCAUCUAUGUACCUAUCUAUGUAUCCAUCUAACAAUCCAGCAGUAUGUAGAGCAUGCAGUUCGAGGCCUGUCCAUAAUCUCUUCCUCCCCACGACUAAACACUGCUAAUUAGUUCAAUAUUUAUUCCUCCAAAAUUUUUGUCUGUGCAUUAUAAACAUAUUUUAAAAGCAAAAGCAUGGGAUCCUCCUAAUUAUACUGCUGUGUCAUUUGAGUUUUCAUCUAACAACAUACUGUGUAGGUCAUUCCAGAGUUCUUUCAAAUCCUUUUAUGUCCAGUUGUUUGGCUGGUCUUUAAGCCUUAUAUCAAUUGUUAAUCCUGUCGGUGGCCAUUUAGAUUGUUUCCAGUGUUUGGCUGUUUAUAGACCUCCUUCAGGGAACCUCCCGGUUCGUACAUGGCCAUGCACUGGGGUUAUGAGUCCUUAAGGAGUGUCUCUGAAAGUGAACCGCCUGGGUCAGAGGGCAUGCACAUUACAGGAGUUAAUCUGUACAGCCGGGUCAACCUCCAGAAGGUUGUGCCGACUUACUAUGUGCAAGAGGCUUCAUCCCCUCAUCCUUGCCAACCAUGGGCAUAGCAAUCCCUUAAAUCUCUGCUGAUCUGUUAGAUAAAACUGCUUUUAUUUUACAUUUCUUUGAUUACUGAUGAGGUUGAACAUAUUCGUAUAUGUUUGUUGGCCAUUUUAAUUUCUUCGUUUGUGGAUUGCCUGUUCAUGUUAUGUCCUCAGCUCAUUUUUCUAUGUAUCUGUUCAUUCAUUCAGUAGGUGUUUAUUGAGCACCUACUAUGUGUUGGGCACUGUUUGCAUUGGGGACCUAGCAGUAAACAAAACUGAUGAAACAGACCUGCUCCAUGGAACUUAUAACAGAUAAAUGAGUGAAAUAUAGUGUGUGUGUGUGUGUGUGUGUGUGGUAGUGUUAAGUGCAAAAGAGGAAAAAAUAAAGCAGGGCAGGGGUGGGGAAUGUUGGGGAGC
rnacentral:lncRNA from 1 species